rnacentral:rRNA from 1 species
UACGUAGGGGGCAAGCGUUGUCCGGAAUCAUUGGGCGUAAAGAGCGCGUAGGCGGCCCUGUAAGUCCGCUGUGAAAGUCAAGGGCUCAACCCUUGGAUGCCGGUGGAUACUGCAGGGCUAGAGUCCGGAAGAGGCGAGUGGAAUUCCUGGUGUAGCGGUGAAAUGCGUAGAUAUCGGGAGGAACACCAGUGGCGAAGGCGAGUCUCUGGACAGUUCCUGACGCUGAGGCACGAAGGCCAGGGGAGCAAACGGGG